UACAGAGGGGGCAAGCGUUGUUCGGAAUUACUGGGCGUAAAGGGCGCGUAGGCGGCCUUCUAAGUCAGACGUGAAAUCCCUCGGCUCAACCGAGGAACUGCGCCCAAAACUACCGUGCUCGAGGAAGAUAGAGGUGAGCGGAACUCACGGUGGAGCGGUGAAAUGCGUUGAUAUCGUGAGGAACACCCGUGGCGAAAGCAGCUCACUGGGUCUUUUCUGACGCUGAUGCACGAAAGCUAGGGGAGCAAACGGG
rnacentral:rRNA from 1 species